GGCUGUAUGUUAAAUAAUAUUAAUUUUGUUGCUUUGCAUGUUUUUCAUAAGAAGAAUGUCUUCUUUUGCCAUUUCCAGCCACAGAUAUUAAUAAAGUUU